rfam:Ictidomys tridecemlineatus contig046306, whole genome shotgun sequence.
GGAGCUGUAGCUCAGUGGUAGAGCACACGCCUGCCACACAUGAGGUCCUGGGUUCAAUCCUCAUGCACCA